ACCAUAAAGUUAGACGCUGCGUUCAGAAUUCAACAGAGACGGAGUUCUUGCGUUCAUUCUGUCAAACAGAGGACAAAAUUUUACACGAAUAUGAGUCUGGAUCCGUCUACAGGAGUUCCAUUUAUUGAGCUGGAACUUCACAAGGAUGGUUCAAAGCUAGGCUUCAGUGUCGUGGGAGGUAUUGAUCAGGAUAGUUCUAAGAACCCAUUCAUCAAAAAUGAUCAGGGUAUCUUUGUUUCAAGAGUUGCUGCAGGAGAGCCAGCCGAGAAGGCAGGUUUGCAAGUUGGUGAUAAGUUAUUGGAGGUAAAUGGAUACGAUCUUACCAUGGCAACGCAUCGGCAUGCAGUCAAGAUCCUCACAAAGGAGAAGUACUCUAUUCUUAAGAUGAAAACGACGCGCCAAGGACUGAUGAGAAGCUAACCACCUCUAUUACACCCUCCGCAUCCAACCCAUCCACACUGUUGACUAUGUCCAUCCAAUCAGCAUUCACCUUUUAUAAAAUGG
rnacentral:misc_RNA from 1 species